rnacentral:rRNA from 1 species
AUGCUCGAGCUCGGGGUAGCUCCUCGCCGCGCCUCGGCCGCUGUGGAGAGAAGCGCCAAGUACCUCUUCGUCCCCUGCCUCCACGCACGCGACCACACAGCCUCUGGAUCGACUUCCCCGACCUGUCUUCUUCAUCCCCUUCCUGGUCAGAAGCCCCGACAAGUUCCCCGCGUCUCUGCAUCGUCUCCAUCACAUAUCCGGCCACACCAUCAUGUCUAG